rnacentral:lncRNA from 1 species
UGUGAUUUUUCUUUCUCAUAUUUAUACAUAUCCAUAUCAGUUAUGUCCAUGUAAGGAGUGAGAUUUUCAUUCUCCUUUGAUCUUGCCAUGAGGUGCAUCCAAUUGCCUUGUCUAUUGGGUUCUUCAGUUGAUAUGAUUUUUGUUUGCCUUGUCAAGCGAUAUCCUACUUUUGAUGUGGCUUCAUAUUUAGCACGAUAUUUGAAACAAUAU